rnacentral:rRNA from 1 species
AUUGAACGCUAGCGGGAUGCUUUACACAUGCAAGUCGAACGGAGUGGCGGACGGGUGAGAAAUAUAUCGGAACGUGCCCAAUAGCGGGGGAUAACUUGUCGAAAGAGGCGCUAAUACCGCAUACUAGUGGAGCGGCCGAUAUGGGAUUAGCUAGUUGGAGGGGUAAAGGCUCACCAAGGCAACGAUCCGUAGCUGGUUUGAGAGGAAGACCAGCCACACUGGGACUGAGACACGGCCCAGACUCCUACGGGAGGCAGCAGUGGGGAAUUUUGGACAAUGGGGGAAACCCUGAUCCAGCCAUCCCGCGUGUAUGAUGAAGGCCUUCGGGUUGUAAAGUACUUUUGGCAGGGAAGCGGUACCUGCAGAAUAAGCACCGGCUAACUACGUGCCAGCAGCCGCGGUAAUAC